rnacentral:rRNA from 1 species
UACAGAGGGUGCGAGCGUUAAUCGGAGUUACUGGGCGUAAAGGGCGCGUAGGCGGUGAGAUGAGUGUGAUGUGAAAGCCCCGGGCUUAACCUGGGAAGUGCAUCGCAAACGAUCUGACUGGAGUAGAUGAGAGGGUGGCGGAAUUUCCGGUGUAGCGGUGAAAUGCGUAGAGAUCGGAAGGAACGUCAAUGGCGAAGGCAGCCACCUGGCAUCAUACUGACGCUGGAGGCGACGGAAAGCUAGGGGAGCAAACGGG